CCUACGGGAGGCUGCAGUGAGGAAUAUUGGUCAAUGGGCGGGAGCCUGAACCAGCCAAGUCGCGUGAGGGAAGACGGUCCUAUGGAUUGUAAACCUCUUUAGGCGGGGAGCAAUGCCGGGCAUGCGUGCCCGGAGGGAGAGUACCCGCAGAAUAAGCAUCGGCUAACUCCGUGCCAGCAGCCGCGGUAAUACGGAGGAUGCGAGCGUUAUCCGGAUUUAUUGGGUUUAAGGGGUGCGGAGGCGGAUUUUUAAGUCAGCGGUAAAAUGUCCGGGCUCAACCCGGGCGGGCCGUUGAAACUGGGGGUGGUGAGUGGGGGAGAGGUAUGCGGAAGGGGUGGUGGAGCGGUGAAAGGCAGAGAU
rnacentral:rRNA from 1 species